AAUUAAACGUCCUUUCUGGAGCUUUCUUUCUUAACUGCAUCCACCACCACUUAUAUUCUUAUAUUCUCUCUUACUUUUGCUUAAAGCAUGUAUGUGCUCUGCAUAUAUAUUUAUAUAUAUAGAGCUAGAUAUAUGUGUCCUACCAUUGCAUUCAAGAAACAUUUUGGGUUUUAUCUGGUUUUUCUUCAAAGCUUGUUCUUGUGAAGAUGAGUGAAAUCAAAUAUGGCUAUCCAUACCCUGCUCAAGGUUCUUAUCAGGGGCCGCCGCCGGUGGCUGCACCGCCGCAGUACUAUGCUGCUCCUCCACCACCCAGAAGACAACCAGGUUUCCUUGAGGGAUGCUUAGCAGCUUUGUGCUGCUGUUGUCUCUUGGAUGAGUGCUGCUGUGAUCCAACAAUUAUUUUUGCAAGUUAAUGCAUAUGAUAUGACUUUAGCAUAGAAGGGGAAGACACUAUCAUUAUUAAUUGUUAUGUUGUCAUAAUAUUUGAUUUAGAAGUAGUUAAUUAAUUCCUUAGUGGAUCCCAAUCAAUACAGAUAUGUAUCAGUUGUAAUUAAUACAUUAUUGCUUUUGUAAUCUAUUGAUAUAUAUGCUUGAAUUGAGAAUCACUUUUAGUUUUCUGAUUUGCUCAUAUGCUUGUC